rnacentral:rRNA from 1 species
GACGUAGGGCGCGAGCGUUGUCCGGAUUUAUUGGGCGUAAAGAGCUCGUAGGCGGCCAACUAAGUCAGACGUGAAAUCCCUCGGCUUAACCGGGGAACUGCGUCUGAUACUGGAUGGCUUGAAUCCGGGAGAGGGAUGCGGAAUUCCAGGUGUAGCGGUGAAAUGCGUAGAUAUCUGGAGGAACACCGGUGGCGAAGGCGGCAUCCUGGACCGGUAUUGACGCUGAGGUGCGAAAGCGUGGGGAGCAAACAGG